rnacentral:rRNA from 1 species
AUGCCAAUUGUCCAUACAUACGGGAAGCCUGACAUCUUCUUGACCAUGACUUGCAACCCUAAAUGGGAAGAGAUAACGAAUGAGUUGCUUCCUGGUCAGACGGCGCAAGAUUGUCCUGAUAUUGUGGCCCGCGUGUUCUACGGCAAGCUAGAGGCUAUGAAAGACCUGUUGCUCAAGAAAAUGGUCCUGGGUGUUGUUGUUGCUUAUGUGUACGUAGUCGAGUUCCAAAAGAGGGGCCUCCCACACGCACAUUUGUUGUUGAUCAUGGAUUCAACAUACAAGCUUCUCGUCCCGGAGCAGUAUGACCGACUCAUUUCCGCAGAGCUCCCAGACAAGCAAAAGUAUCCGGAAUUGUAUGCACUCCAUGACAGUGUAGUGAUUGACCCAGUCAGAUGCCACAGAAGUAGCUCAUAA